rnacentral:rRNA from 1 species
AUUGAACGCUGGCGGCAGGCCUAACACAUGCAAGUCGAACGAGUGGCGGACGGGUGAGUAAUGUCUGGGAAACUGCCUGAUGGAGGGGGAUAACUACUGGAAACGGUAGCUAAUACCGCAUACCAUCGGAUGUGCCCAGAUGGGAUUAGCUAGUAGGUGGGGUAAAGGCUCACCUAGGCGACGAUCCCUAGCUGGUCUGAGAGGAUGACCAGCCAAACUGGAACUGAGACAGGGUCCGAAUUCCUACGGGAGGCAGCAGUGGGGAAUAUUGCACAAUGGGGGCAAGCCUGAUGCAGCCAUGCCGGGUGUAUGAAGAGGGCCUUCGGGUUGUAAAGUACUUUCAGCGGGGAGGCGUUACCCGCAGAAGAAGCACCGGCUAACUCCGUGCCAGCAGCGGCGGUAAUA